CGGGUCCGGUCCCACCGCGGCGCAGCGCAUCCCCGCGGCACCGCCCGGCACCGCACGGACCGGGCCGGCAAGGAGAGCACGGACCGGCACCGCACGGAGCGGCACCGACCGGCACCGCACGGGCCGGGCCGGAGAACACGGCACCGACCAGCACCGCACGGAUCGGACCGCAAACACGGUUCGGCACGGCACGAGCUGGCACCGACCGGCACCCACAGGCACGGCUCGGACCGGACCGGCACGAACCGCCAAACACGGCUCAGACUGGCAGGGCACGGACCGGACCGGCAGGGCGCACCCCGGCUCGGCUCGGUGCGGCUCGGCUCAAAGAGGCUCGGCUUGGCUCAGUUCGGACCCGCCCGGACCCGCCCGGUGCCCCGCAGGCGGCACUGCCGGGGCCAGGACGGGGCACCUCUGGCCGGCCACGCACCCGUGGAGAGGCACCGGCACCCCCCGCCACCCGCGGGACCUCCCCGCCCGUCCCCCUCCUCUCACUCGCGGCUGCAGCCAGGAAGGGGCACCCCCGGGGCCUCCAGGACUGGGGGACGGGCGGGGAUGGGACGCGGGCAGUGCCUGCACGGCAUUGUCCUGACAGGGAACGACCUGUGCUCGCCGGGAUUCCUGGAACCGGGAGCAGCCUUUCAGCCUUUCUCUGAAUCUCAACAGAGAAAAAUCUAUCACUGAAAAAAAAAAAAAACACGCUUCAGUCGAUGCCAAGAAGAAAUCUGAAGGAUUUGCUGUUUGUUGGAAAGCGCUCCUGAAAAAGCAAUGUUUUCCAGGCUGCUCGGGCCGUAGAGGAGCUGAUUCCCGGGGCAGGGUCUGGGCCAAGCGCGAGCUGAGUCCAGAGGGAUUUUCCUGCCUGUGAUGGAUGAGCUCCUGCAGCACCAGGAGCUGAGGCUCCAAGUACACCUGCAACAAGGCUUGAACUGCAAGUGAGCAUCUCCCCAGGUGUCAGGGAUGAGCAGCACGCUGCUGAGCUGCCUUUCCAACACAUGGAAGUCUAUCUGCUAGGAAACAAUAUUUUAAAUCAAACUUUCCCAUAAAACAUCGGGGUCGUGAUGCUGCACCUGGGAAGGGGGUGGGAAACAGUUCCCUGAGCAGCUGCUCUGCUCCUUCUGUGCAGGUCUGUGUGAGAAGGAAAGCCCAGCAUGGUGUGAAGGAGGUGGUCCAACAUGCCAUGCCAUGCCAUGCCGUGCCACACUGUGUCAUGCUGUGCCACAUUGUGCCAUGUGUGCAAUGCUGUGCCAUCCUGUGCCAUGCCGUGCCACACCUCUAACUAGCCCCAGGCCCCAGCUCCACGUGAGUCACGCUGGGAUAGCGUGAGUCACCUCGGGAUUAAAAUAACCCCUGCACCACAGCCCUGCCCUCAGACAAAUCCCACUUCUCGCUCCGCUGCAUCAGAGCUGCUGGAUUUGCCCCAAAUCCAGUGGAUUGUGGCGCUCCCGGGGCACCGUUCCUGUCCCAGCCUGUCCCCGCGGGCUUAGGGAGCACCACCCUCCUGCCCAGCCCCCGCCGCUGAUGUUUGCAGCAGGUUGGUCGUUUCCCACAGGAAUGCGGAUGGUGAGACAUGGAAAUCAAACUCUGGACCAAGUUCACCAGGGGGUGUAAGCAGGAAUAACCUCCCCAAAAACCCCAAAGCCGGCACCUGCCAAUGGAGGGAGCGCAGUAACAUUGCCCUGGGGCAAAAGCUCCAAACAAAAAUUUAAAUUAAAAAAAAAAAAGAAUUUGAGACGUAUCCUUUGUUUCCUGACAGGAAUGAAGCCACAUAAUUAUCUUUGACUCUGGUUUCUUUGCAGGUGCUCCUGCCACAGCAUCCACCCAGCUGAGGGCCAGCAAUCCUGCACCCUCCUCAGGCAGGGAGUGUGGCCAACGUGGGCUCCCAGGGCAGGACUCCCCGCUAUGGAAUUCCCAAACAAAACCUGCAUUUGCAAAAGGUUUUGAAUGAAGCCCCAGGAGUGGGAGGAGGGGUUGUGUGUUGGCCUGUAGCCUUGGAGACCGAAGCCGAGGAAUACUGAAUGGAAACCCAAACACGGAGCUGCCUCUGAGCUCCAGGCCUGAUGUGGAGAUCGGAUCUGCAGGGACGGCUCCGCUCCGGAGCCUCCCACGGCUGGGCAGCUCACAAGUGCCACUGCCAGCUGGGGAUUCAGCUGGUUCAGUAGGAUACAUCCAUGGCAAUGGCAGGGGCUACAACCACAGCAGCUCCAGGCUGUUGACAUAAUUCCCUCUCUCUCUCUUGGCCAACGCUUCCUCCUGCUCCAAGAGUCUCAACCACCUCCUCACCAAAAGCAUCUGAUUGACCAACAUGACCAAUUCAAGCUCAAAGCCACUGUGUGCAACAUUUGAGUUCAUGUCCUGAAGCUUAUAAGCCUAAAAUUUGCCUGGUUUUAUUCAGCUUUAUUAGUCCUUCCUAAAAACAUAUGAUCUUUCCCUACAAACCUUGUCCUUGGUUAUUUCAGAGCGUCGUAGCUCCUGGAGACCCGUGACCCUUUGCCAACCCAGCCACUAAACAUGGAGCAAAGGGUGCUGAUUUAAUUCCAUAGAAUUCUCAUUGAUUUUCCUGCAUCUUUUGAUUUGAUCCAGGCAAAAAAAAAAAAAAAAAUCCCUUUGGCUGCUCCUUUCUGGAGCAGAAGUGAUUCGAUGCACUGGAGAACUCUUGCUCUGGUUUCAGCUCCUUUCAGUGUCAGCCACUUCCUUACCAAGGGAGGUUUUGUGGCUGAAGGACUUUGGGGAUGAAAAUCCGGAGCUGGUUCCAGGAACACCAGGGCAGGGAGCAGAGCCCUGUGUUUGGAAAGCAGUUCAAUACAUUCCACAGGGCCGUGGUAAUGCUCCGGCUCCCCUGGCUCAGGGGGCAGGUCGAGCUCCUUGGAGCCCUUCCCGAGGAUGCUGAUCCAGCACUGGGUCCGAGGUGUGGCUCCAAUUGGAGCCAGAGCAGUUCAAUCUGACACUGGGCUGCUCUGUGCCAGCUGUGCCUUUGGAAGGAAGAGCAUCAGGCACUGGGUUUCGUGUCUUUUUGUUUGUUUAGCAUGGAUUUGAUCCAUAUCCAUCUUUUUUUUUAAUUUAGCUCUCUUUGCGUGCUCUGUGCAACUGCAUAAGACAUGAAGAGCCUGUGAGUGCUCUCCCAGCUGGGCAGGUUUGAGGGGAAUGGAUGUUCUGGGCAUGGCUGUAGUUCCUGAGCUCCAAAGAGACCUUCCUUCCCCCAGAAAGAAGGAAGGAAGGGAAGUGUAGCACAGCUCAGCUUUUUCUGUAACAAACCCCCAUCAUCACAUCUCCAAGUUGCUCAAGUCCCUGUUUCACAGGGAAAAUAACACCCAAACCUUUCUUAAGUUAGUGAGCUUCAUUUAGGAAAUAAAUAAAAUGGUAAGAAAAUAUGAAUUAUUGUAAUAAAUACAGCACUUGCCAAAGUGAUACAGCCCCGAGAAGCACAAUAUUUUUAGGCAAAUUACUCCAGUGUGGUUACAGGGGCUGGAAAAAUAACUUUCUGUCCUUGAAAGACAUUUUAAAUAUGGAAUGGAGGAAAAGACAGACAUAGAGAGAGACUAUGUGUCUGUGAUGGCAAAGAUUAUCCAGUUUCUUCCCAAACAAGCUUUGAUAAAUAUUUGUUUAUGGGGAGGGUGUUUUUGAAAUGUGAUACUUUAUCACAACUAAUUAUUUUAAAGGAUGUUGUCAAGAUAGAAAUGAGAGAUUUUGCACACAUCCAGAUAGCCCCAAGCUGGUCUUGCAUAUUAAAAAAAAAUAAUUAUUAAUUUCUUACUUCUAUUUUUAAAAAAAAGGAAAAACCAUUUCUGCAGCUACUUCUGUUUUAGGGUGUGAAAAGA